CCUACGGGUGGCUGCAGUGGGGAAUUUUGCGCAAUGCUCGUAAGAGUGACGCAGCGACGCCGCGUGAAUGACGAAGGCCUUCGGGUCGUACAGUUCUUUCGACAGGGAAGAAAAUGCAUAUAUGUAACUGUGUAUGUAUUGACGGUACCUGUAUAAGCAGCACCGGCUAACUCCGUGCCAGCAGCCGCGGUAAUACGGAAGGGGCGAGCGUUGUUCGGAGUGACUGGGCGUAAAGAGCACGUAGGCGGUGUUGUAAGUCAUUAGUCAAAGCCUAGGGCUCAACUUUAGUAAGGCUAGUGAUACUAUAAUACUAGAGUAUCAGAGAGGAUGGCAGAAUUCCAGGUGUAGCGGUGAAAUGCGUAGAUAUCAGGAGGAAUACCGAUAGCGAAGGCAGAAAUCUGGCUGGAAACUGACGCUGAGGUGCGAAAGCGUGGGUAGCAAACAGGAUGAGAUACCCGAGUAGUC
rnacentral:rRNA from 1 species